rnacentral:rRNA from 1 species
CCUACGGGUGACAGCAGUGGGGGAUAUUGCACAAUGGGGGAAACCCUGAUGCAGCGACGCCGCGUGUGGGAAGACGGUCUUCUGGAUUGUAAACCCCUGUCAUGUGGGAGCAAAUUAAAAAGAUAGUACCACAAGAGGAAGAGACGGCUAACUCUGUGCCAGCAGCCGCGGUAAUACAGAGGUCUCAAGCGUUGUUCGGAAUCACUGGGCGUAAAGCGUGCGUAGGCUGUUUCGUAAGUCGUGUGUGAAAGGCGCGGGCUCAACCCGCGGACGGCACAUGAUACUGCGAGACUAGAGUAAUGGAGGGGGAACCGGAAUUCUCGGUGUAGCAGUGAAAUGCGUAGAUAUCGAGAGGAACACUCGUGGCGAAGGCGGGUUCCUGGACAUUAACUGACGCUGAGGCACGAAGGCCAGGGGAGCGAAAGGGAUUAGAUACCCUUGUAGUC